UCCUGCGGAGCCUGUAGUG
rnacentral:misc_RNA from 1 species